GAUGAACGCUGGCGGCGUGCCUAAUACAUGCAAGUCGAGCGAACGGACGAGAAGCUUGCUUCUCUGAUGUUAGCGGCGGACGGGUGAGUAACACGUGGAUAACCUACCUAUAAGACUGGGAUAACUUCGGGAAACCGGAGCUAAUACCGGACAAUAUUUUGAACCGCAUGGUUCAAAAGUGAAAGACGGUCUUGCUGUCACUUAUAGAUGGAUCCGCGCUGCAUUAGCUAGUUGGUAAGGUAACGGCUUACCAAGGCAACGAUGCAUAGCCGACCUGAGAGGGUGAUCGGCCACACUGGAACUGAGACACGGUCCAGACUCCUACGGGAGGCAGCAGUAGGGAAUCUUCCGCAAAGGGCGAAAGCCUGACGGAGCAACGCCGCGUGAGUGAUGAAGGUCUUCGGAUCGUAAAACUCUGUUAUUAGGGAAGAACAUAUGUGUAAGUAACUGUGCACAUCUUGACGGUACCUAAUCAGAAAGCCACGGCUAACUACGUG
rnacentral:rRNA from 1 species